rnacentral:rRNA from 1 species
AUUGAACGCUGGCGGCAUGCCUUACACAUGCAAGUCGAACGGUAACGGGCCUUCGGGUGCCGACGAGUGGCGAACGGGUGAGUAAUGUAUCGGAACGUACCUUUCAGUGGGGGAUAACGUAGCGAAAGUUACGCUAAUACCGCAUAUUCUGUGCGCAGGAAAGCAGGGGAUCACAAGACCUUGCGCUGAUUGAGCGGCCGAUAUCAGAUUAGCUAGUUGGUGAGGUAAAGGCUCACCAAGGCGACGAUCUGUAGCGGGUCUGAGAGGAUGAUCAGCCACACUGGAACUGAGACACGGUCCAGACUCCUACGGGAGGCAGCAGUGGGGAAUUUUGGACAAUGGGGGCAACCCUGAUCCAGCCAUGCCGCGUGAGUGAAGAAGGCCUUCGGGUUGUAAAGCUCUUUCGGCCGGGAAGAAAUCGUAUCAGCUAAUACCUGGUGCGGAUGACGGUACCGGCAUAAGAAGCACCGGCUAACUACGUGCCAGCAGCCGCAGUAACAC